rnacentral:tRNA from 2 species
GGUCUUAUAUUCAAUUAUGAUUCUAGACUGCAAUUCUAGGGGUGUAAAAUAUUAUUUUACUAAGACCU